ACGAACGCUGGCGGCGUGCUUCACCCAUGCCAGUCGAGCGGUGAAGCCCUUCGGGGUGGGUCAGUGGCGAACGGGUGAGUAACACGUGAGCAACCUGCCCCUGGCUCUGGGACAACCACUGGAAACGGUGGCUAAUACCGGAUACGACCCGCCUCGGCAUCGAGUGUGGGUGGAAAGUUUUUCGGCUGGGGAUGGGCUCGCGGCCUAUCAGCUUGUUGGUGAGGUGAAGGCUCACCAAGGCGACGACGGGUAGCCGGCCUGAGAGGGCGACCGGCCACACUGGGACUGAGACACGGCCCAGACUCCUACGGGAGGCAGCAGUGGGGAAUAUUGCACAAUGGGCGAAAGCCUGAUGCAGCGACGCCGCGUGAGGGAUGACGGCCUUCGGGUUGUAAACCUCUUUCAGCUCCGAAGAAGCGAAAGUGACGGUAGGAGCAGAAGAAGCACCGGCUAACUACGUG
rnacentral:rRNA from 1 species